rfam:Myotis davidii contig164355, whole genome shotgun sequence.
UCCGGUGUUGCUAAGUGGUUAGAGCAUUGGCCCACAAACCCAAGGGUUGCAGGCUCGAUUCCUGUCAAGGGCA